rnacentral:rRNA from 1 species
GAUGAACGCUGGCGGCGUGCCUAAUACAUGCAAGUCGAGCGAACAGACGAGGGGCUUGCUCCUCUGACGUUAGCGGCGGACGGGUGAGUAACACGUGGAUAACCUACCUAUAAGACUGGGAUAACUUCGGGAAACCGGAGCUAAUACCGGAUAAUAUAUUGAACCGCAUGGUUCAAUAGUGAAAGACGGUUUUGCUGUCACUUAUAGAUGGAUCCGCGCCGCAUUAGCUAGUUGGUAAGGUAACGGCUUACCAAGGCAACGAUGCGUAGCCGACCUGAGAGGGUGAUCGGCCACACUGGAACUGAGACACGGUCCAGACUCCUACGGGAGGCAGCAGUAGGGAAUCUUCCGCAAUGGGCGAAAGCUUGACGGAGCAACGCCGCGUGAGUGAUGAAGGUCUUCGGAUCGUAAAACUCUGUUAUUAGGGAAGAACAAAUGUGUAAGUAACUAUGCACGUCUUGACGGUACCUAAUCAGAAAGCCACGGCUAACUACGUG